rnacentral:rRNA from 1 species
AGCGAACGCUGGCGGCAGGCCUAGCACAUGCAAGUCGAACGAACCCUUCGGGGUUAGUGGCGGACGGGUGAGUAACACGUGGGAACGUGCCUUUAGGUUCGGAAUAACUCAGGGAAACUUGUGCUAAUACCGAAUGUGCCCUUCGGGGGAAAGAUUUAUCGCCUUUAGAGCGGCCCGCGUCUGAUUAGCUAGUUGGUGAGGUAAUGGCUCACCAAGGCUACGAUCAGUAGCUGGUCUGAGAGGAUGACCAGCCACAUUGGGACUGAGACACGGCCCAAGCUCCUACGGGAGGCAGCAGUGGGGAAUCUUGCGCAAUGGGCGAAAGCCUGACGCAGCCAUGCCGCGUGGAUGAUGAAGGUCUUAGGAUUGUAAAAUCCUUUCACCGGUGAAGAUAAUGACUGUAGCCGGAGAAGAAGCCCCGGCUAACUUCGUGCCAGCCGCCGCGGUAAUAC